GUACACUCCUACGGGAGGCAGCAGUGAGGAAUAUUGGACAAUGGGUGGAAGCCUGAUCCAGCCAUCCCGCGUGCAGGAAGACGGCCCUAUGGGUUGUAAACUGCUUUUAUCUGGGGAUAAACCUACUUACGUGUAAGUAGCUGAAGGUACCAGAAGAAUAAGCACCGGCUAACUCCGUGCCAGCAGCCGCGGUAAUACGGAGGGUGCAAGCGUUAUCCGGAUUUAUUGGGUUUAAAGGGUCCGUAGGCGGACUGAUAAGUCAGUGGUGAAAUCCGACAGCUUAACUGUCGAACUGCCAUUGAUACUGUUAGUCUUGAGUAAGGUUGAAGUGGCUGGAAUAAGUAGUGUAGCGGUGAAAUGCAUAGAUAUUACUUAGAACACCAAUUGCGAAGGCAGGUCACUAAGUCUUAACUGACGCUGAUGGACGAAAGCGUGGGGAGCGAACAGGAUUAGAAACCCCGGUAGUAUG
rnacentral:rRNA from 1 species